AUUGAAGGUAUUUCACCUGGUGAUGUAUUGAAUGUUUUUCACCUGGUGAUGUAUUGAAGGUAUUUCACAUGGUGAUGUAUUGAAGGUAUUUCACCUGGUGACGUAUUGAAGGUAUUUCACCUGGUGAUGUAUUGAAGGUAUUUCACCUGGUGAUGUAUUGAAGGUAUUUCACCUGGUGAUGUAUUGAAGGUAUUUCACCUGGUGAUGUAUUGAAGGUAUUUCACCUGGUGAUGUAUUGAAGAUUAUAUGAUCUAUGUGUCUGGUAUAACCGUCGCUAGUAUAGAUGAAUGGAAGCUGGACUGACGGGUGUUAUCACACACAGAUUACGGUAUCUGUAGUUGAAACACAUAGGUCAGUCCUGUCUUCCUUGAGACUAGAGCUGCUUGAUGCCACUGAAAGCUUUCUUAUAUAGAAUUGUAAAUAUGUAUAUUGUAAAGUGCUUCAAAAUACAAUGAAACCUCAUUAACCUCAUUCGAAUCUUCCAGAUAAAACAAUUUUCGAAAAAAUGCAUGUUAGCCCAGAUUCAUUUACAAUCCUUUAAUCCUUCAACUCCAACAAAACUGCGAAAUAGCGGAGUGUUGUUUUAUUCAGCCGACCAGGAACAAGUACACUGUUAACAUCAUUUACUUCACCUAAACAGAUAAAAAUCUCUAAUCAAAUUCGGACGAAUCGUUUCAUUUCAGGUGACUCUGUCCUCUUCUGUCCACCCACAGGUUUAGUUAAAGGACCCCUUAAAACGUACCCUGAAUACGGAGUGCUCCUGGUACACGGGUUCCGGGUUGUGCAGGUUUCACUGUAUCUGCAAAACAAGAUGGCUGGGCAUAGUGCAAUAUCCCUGUAUGAGAUAUUAUUUGAAAACGUUGAUUUGUAUGCUAUAAUACGUGUAUCAUUGAAUAUAUGAAAUAAAAUAUACGUAUAUUUUGCA